rnacentral:SRP_RNA from 1 species
UGUUAGGCUUGACCGGGGAGCUUGGCGUGCCCUACACCCGCAACCGUCAAUAGCGGGGGUGACAGCAGGGGGCGGCAUUGCUGAACGGGCGAGCCCGCAAAGCGACGAUGACAUCUUGUCCUGCGGAGUGAGAGUACGCGGAUACCGCAACCGGAGGGUUGCGGCGGCCGUGUUGAUCGGGGGAACCGGGCCAGGCCCUGACGGGAGCAGCCUUACCUCGGACUACUGACGUUUGCGGGAAAGCAGGGUCGAGAAGCGAUGCGGUCAACUCGCCUCGGGAUGCGGUGUCCACCCCUGUGGCCUAACG